rnacentral:misc_RNA from 1 species
AAUGGUGGGUGGAACGCUUAAUGCAAGUGGCAAAUGCUACACAAACCAUAUCCUAAUAGUCUUGCCAUUGACCCUACGAAAUUAAUUAUUCAUCACCAAAGUCCACCUUGGAAGGAAAAGCGAAAGCAACUUUGUUGAUUGAACACUUAAAGUGGACCUCAAUAUAUGGAUUUCAAAGAAACACUACUGGAAUCAAUCGGUCAUACUGAGAAGAUGCUCCUGAAAAUUCUGCUUCUAUCCCUUCUCUUCCCAUUUUGCAUUGCCAUUGACACCAUAACUAAUAAUGAAUCACUCCCACACAGCGGUAUUUUACUCUCCAAAGAAAGCAAUUUUGCUCUGGGUUUUUUCAGCCCUGGCGGCUCAAGGUUUAAAUAUCUUGGCAUUUGGUACCAUAAACUACCAGGUCGAACCGUGGUAUGGGUUGCGAAUAGGGAGAAUCCAAUUGGUGAUUCCUCAGUAGCCCUCUCAAUGAGUUCAGAUGGAAACCUCGUGCUCCACGCCAGCACUGACCAAAAUUUUCCUAUAUGGUCCACGAAUGUUUCAUUAAAAGGAAGAGGUGCUUGUAAAGCUCGGCUCCUAGAUUCAGGCAAUCUGGUCUUGGUCCAAAGUGAGAGAAUUGUUUGGCAAAGCUUCGAUUAUCCUACAGAUACAAUGCUCCCAGGUAUUAAAUUAGGACUGGACCUGAAAAAUGGCUUCAACAGGUUCUUAACGUCAUGGAGAUCAGCAGAUGACCCAGCAAUUGGAGACUUCUCCUUCAAGCUGAAUCCUACAGGCUCACCACAGUUCUUUCUGUACAAGGGCUUAAUCCCAUACUGGCGAGGCAAGCCUUGGACUCCUUCUGUCUCAACAACAAUUCCCCAGUAUUUAUUCAAGUUUACUUUUACCAACACUGAAGAUGAGAUUUACUACAGUUACGCGGUUGAUGACAAAUCUGUUAUCAUAAGAACUGUGGUUGACAACUCUGGAUUGCUUCAGAGUCUCACUUGGGAUAAUGGUUCUCGCCAGUGGAAGCAAUCCUGGUGGGUACCCAAGUAUCCAUAUGGGCAUUGUGGCCCAUACAGCAUAUGCAACGCUAACAAUGUUGAUACAUCUGAGUGCACUUGCUUGCCCGGGUACAAACCCAAGUCCUUAAUGAAAUGGUAUUUCAGAGAUGCUUCUGCUGGGUGUUUAAGGAAGCAGCAACAAACAUCAAUGUGUAGAAACAGAGAGGGGUUUAUUAAGGUAGCAGGCGUGAAGUUUCCUGAUACUUCAAUAGCAUCCUUGAUGAACAAGAGCAUGAGCAGCUUUGGGUGCGAGCAAUUCUGCUUGAGGAAUUGUUCGUGCAAAGCUUUUGCAAGUUUAGAUUUUGGGAUGAAAGGGGUUUACUGCUGGACGUGGUACGGAGAGUUGAUGGACGUGAUGGAGUACACAGGGGGAAGUGACCUGUAUGUUCGUGUGGAUACAAUUGCGCUAGCUGAGGGUGAAAGCAAAUCCAAUCAUUUUCUUCAAAAGAAGGGAAAGCUGGUUGUUGUGGUACCAUCUUUCAUUUCUGCAUGGCUUGUCAUCAUCAUAUUCAUCUAUUUCUGGUUCUGGAGGAGGAGAAAAACAGGGAUAAGGAAUAACAUAUUGAGCAAGAAGAUAUUUGAUUCAAGUAUUGGCUCAAAUUACUAUGAAGAUUCUUUGGAGGAAAAUGGGCUUAGGGGAAGUAGGAAUCACCCAGACGUGAUAUAUUUUGAUUUCAGCACUGUUCUUGCUGCCACUAACAAUUUCUCUGCAACCAACAUACUUGGACAAGGUGGUUUUGGCUCUGUUUAUAUGGUAUGGUGUAGCUUCUCUGAGCUAUAUGUGUGUAUCUUUACUUGUAACUUGUGAGGUUCUGGGUAAGCAAACUGGCUUUAAAUUGGUUAUUCAUGAGUGACCUUACUCUUGCCACAUGCAUUCAGGGUAAGCUAUCUAAUGGACAGGAGAUAGCUGUAAAAAGAUUGUCAAAAAAUUCAAGACAAGGAAUUAGAGAAUUCAAAAAUGAAGUUAUGUUAAUUGCUCAGCUUCAACACCGGAAUCUUGUGAAACUACUAGGAUGUUGUAUUCAGGGAGAAGAACGAAUUUUAAUUUAUGAAUACUUGCCAAAUGGAAGCCUGGACUUAUUUAUUUUUGAUGAGACAAGAAAGUCAUGUUUGAGUUGGAAUAAACGCUUCAGUAUUAUUCUUGGGAUUGCCCGUGGAAUUUUAUAUCUUCAUGAGGAUUCGAGGUUGAGAGUUAUCCACAGAGAUUUAAAAAGUAGCAACAUCCUCUUAGAUGCAGAGAUGAAUCCCAAAAUUUCGGAUUUUGGAUUGGCAAAAGUACUCAAAGGUGAUCAAAUUCAAAAUAAGACGAGCAGAGUCGUUGGAACUUAUGGCUAUAUGUCCCCCGAGUAUGCAGUAUUUGGAAGAUUUUCUAUUAAGUCAGACGUCUUCAGUUUUGGAGUUGUAUUAUUGGAGAUUGUAAGUGGCAAGAAAAAUAAUGGUUUUAUUCAUGACCUUUCUCUGAGCUUGAUAGGACAUGUGUGGGAGCUAUGGAGAGAAGAUAGAGCACUGGAGAUAAUUGAUUCAUCGUUGAAAGAUUCAUACAAUCCUGAUGAAGCCCUGAGGUGCAUUCAAGUUGGACUCUUAUGUGUUCAAGAAGCUGCUUUAGAUAGACCAACUAUGUUACAAGUUGUUCUAAUGCUGAGUAGUGAAACAACUCUUCCUUCUCCAAAACAGCCUGCCUUCAUUUUCAGAAAAUCUUGCAGCAGUUCUAACUCAUCACUAAUGGGGGAAGAUGGGUCUGCAUGCUCUAUUAAUGAUGUGACGAUUACAGCAGUUACCACUCGCUAAUUUCAGAUCAAUUCAUUAUAUAAAAGAUUUAUUAUUAGUCAAGUGCAUUUGGAAGGUCUAAUAUCAAUUUCAUUUAAUUUUUGCUAUUGAAUAACUGUUUCAUUUUAAUUAGCUAUUCUUAGAUUCAAU